rnacentral:rRNA from 1 species
CAGCAGCCGCGGGAAUACGAAGGGGGCUAGCGUUGUUCGGAAUGACUGGGCGUAAAGCGCACGUAGGCGGAUCGAUCAGUCAGGGGUGAAAUCCUGGAGCUCAACUCCAGAACUGCCUUUGAUACUGUCGAUCUCGAGUCCGGAAGAGGUGAGUGGAACUCCUAGUGUAGAGGUGGAAUUCGUAGAUAUUAGGAAGAACACCAGUGGCGAAGGCGGCUCACUGGUCCGGUACUGACGCUGAGGUGCGAAAGCGUGGGGAGCAAACAGGAUUAGAUACCCCUGUAGUCCCUGUCUCUUAUAC